rnacentral:rRNA from 1 species
UACGUAGGUGGCGAGCGUUGUCCGGAUUUACUGGGCGUAAAGAGCGCGCAGGCGAUCGUACAAGUCGCGUGUGAAAGCCCCCGGCUCAACUGGGGAGGGUCACGCGAUACUGUUCGACUCGAAGGCAGGAGAGGGUAGUGGAAUUCCCGGUGUAGUGGUGAAAUGCGUAGAUAUCGGGAGGAACACCAGUGGCGAAGGCGACUACCUGGCCUGUUCUUGACGCUGAGGCGCGAAAGCCAGGGGAGCGAACGGG